rnacentral:rRNA from 1 species
CCUACGGGAGGCAGCAGUGAGGAAUAUUGGUCAAUGGACGAGAGUCUGAACCAGCCAAGUAGCGUGAAGGAUGACUGCCCUAUGGGUUGUAAACUUCUUUUAUAUGGGAAUAAAACGUUCCACGUGUGGGUUUUCGUAUGUACCCUAUGAAUAAGGAUCGGCUAACUCCGUGCCAGCAGCCGCGGUAAUACGGAGGAUCCGAGCGUUAUCUGGAUUUAUUGGGUUUAAAGGGAGCGUAGGUGGAUAGUUAAGUCAGUUGUGAAAGUUUGCGGGUCAACCGUAACAGAGCAGUUGAAACUGGCAGUCUUGAGCACAGGAGAGGUGGGCGGAAUUCGUGGUGUAGCGGUGAAAUGCAUAGAUAUCACGAAGAACUCCGAUUGCGAAGGCAGUACACUGGAGUGCAACUGACACUGAGGCUCGAAAGUGUGGGUAUCGAACAGGAUUAGAUACCCGAGUAGUC